UACAGAGGUCCCAAGCGUUGUUCGGAUUCACUGGGCGUAAAGGGUGCGUAGGCGGUCGGGUAAGUCUGAUGUGAAAUCUCACAGCUUAACUGUGAAACUGCAUUGGAUACUAUCCGGCUCGAGGAAUGGAGGGGAGACUGGAAUACUUGGUGUAGCAGUGAAAUGCGUAGAUAUCAAGAGGAACACCUGAGGUGAAGACGGGUUGCUGGGCUGACACUGACGCUGAGGCGCGAAAGCCAGGGGAGCAAACGGG
rnacentral:rRNA from 1 species